GACAGAGGUCCCGAGCGUUAGGCGGAAUCACUGGGCUUAAAGCGUGUGUAGGCGGGUUGGUAAGUACCUUGUGAAAUCCCACGGCUUAACCGUGGAACUGCUUGGUAUACUGCUUAUCUUGGGCCACUUAGGGGUUACCGGAACAAACGGUGGAGCGGUGAAAUGCGUAGAUAUCGUUUGGAACGCCAAUGGUGAAAACAGUUAACUUGGAUUGUGCCGACGCUGAGACACGAAAGCCAGGUGAGCGAACGGG
rnacentral:rRNA from 1 species